rnacentral:rRNA from 1 species
UACGUAGGGGGGCUAGCGUUGUCCGGAAUCAUUGGGCGUAAAGAGCGUGUAGGCGGUCCGGUAAGUCCGCUGUGAAAGUCGGGGGGCUCAACCCUCGAAUGCCGGUGGAUACUGUCGGGCUAGAGUACGGAAGAGGCGAGUGGAAUUCCUGGUGUAGCGGUGAAAUGCGCAGAUAUCAGGAGGAACACCUAUUGCGAAGGCAGCUCGCUGGGACGUAACUGACGCUGAGACGCGAAAGCGUGGGGAGCAAACAGG